CCUACGGGGGGCUGCAGUGAGGAAUAUUGGUCAAUGGGCGCAACCCUGAACCAGCGACGCCGCGUGAGGGAUGACGGGGCUUUGCCUUGUAAACCUCUGUCAGAAGGGAAAAGAAGGUUGUUUGGCGACCUGGGCUUGUACCUUCGGAGGAAGCACCGGCUAACUACGUGCCAGCAGCCGCGGUAAUACGUAGGGUGCAAACGUUGUCCGGAAUUACUGGGUGUAAAGGGUGCACAGGCGGUUUUGUGCGUCAGAGGUUAAAUGCCACGGCUCAACUGUGGACCUGCCUUUGAUACGGCAAGACUUGAGUGGAAGAGAGGAUGAUAGAACUCCUGGUGUAGCGGUGAAAUGCGUAGAUAUCAGGAAGAAUACCAUUUGCGAAGGCGGUCAUCCGGCUUUCAACUGACGCUUAAGCACGAAAGCGUGGGUAGCGAACAGGCUUAGAUACCCCGGUAGUC
rnacentral:rRNA from 1 species